UUCCUACGGGGCGCAGCAGUGGGGAAUAUUGCACAAUGGGGGAAACCCUGAUGCAGCGACGCCGCGUGAGUGAAGAAGGGUUUCGGCUCGUAAACUUCUAUCAACAGGGACGAAAGAAAUGACGGUACCUGAAUAAGAAGCCCCGGCUAACUACGUGCCAGCAGCCGCGGUAAUACGUAGGGGGCAAGCGUUAUCCGGAAUUACUGGGUGUAAAGGGGGAGUAGGCGGCAUGGUAAGCCAGAUGUGAAAGCCUUGGGCUUAACCCGAGGAUUGCAUUUGGAACUAUCAAGCUAGAGGACAGGAGA
rnacentral:rRNA from 1 species